rnacentral:rRNA from 1 species
GGUAGUUGGUGGGGUAAUGGCCUACCAAGCCUUAGACGGGUAUCCGGUGUGAGAGCACGAACGGACAGAGGGGGACUGAGACACGGCCCCCACUCCUACGGGAGGCAGCAGCAGGGAAUCUCGCGCAAUGGGCUAAAAGGCCUGACGCAGUGACACCGCGUGGGGGAAGAAGGCUUUCGGGUCGUAAACCCCUUUUCUCGGGGAAGAGUGAGGACGGUACCCGAGGAAUAAGCCUCGGCUAACUACGUGCCAGCAGCCGCGGUAAUACGUAGGAGGCGAGCGUUGUCCGGAUUUACUGGGCGUAAAGGGCGAGUAGGCGGCCUGAUAAGUCUCAUGUGAAAUCUCCCGGCUUAACUGGGAGGGGUCAUGGGAAACUGUCAGGCUUGAGGGCAGUAGAGGAGAGUGGAAUUCCCGGAGUAGCGGUGAUAUGCGUAGAUACCGGGAGGAACACCCGAGGCGAAGGCGACUCUCUGGGCUGCACCUGACGCUGAGGCGCGAAAGCAUGGGGAGCGAACCGGAUUAGAUACCCGGGUA